GAUUGAACGCUGGCGGUAUGCUUAACACAUGCAAGUCGAACGGAAACGAUACUAGCUUGCUAGUAGGCGUCGAGUGGCGGACGGGUGAGUAACGCGUAGGAAUCUGCCUGAUAGUGGGGGAUAGCCCGAAGAAAUUCGGAUUAAUACCGCAUAAUCUAUUUGUAGUAAAGUGGGGGACUUUCGAGCCUCACGCUAUCAGAUGAGCCUGCGUAAGAUUAGCUUGUUGGUAGGGUAAAAGCCUACCAAGGCGACGAUCUUUAGCUGGUCUGAGAGGAUGAUCAGCCACAUCGGGACUGAGACACGGCCCGAACUCCUACGGGAGGCAGCAGUGGGGAAUAUUGGACAAUGGGGGCAACCCUGAUCCAGCAAUACCGCGUGUGUGAAGAAGGCCUGAGGGUUGUAAAGCACUUUCAAUUGUGAAGAAAAGUUAGCGGUUAAUAACCGUUAGCCUUGACGUUAACUUUAGAAGAAGCACCGGCUAACUCCGUGCCAGCAGCCGCGGUAAUACGGAGGGUGCAAGCGUUAAUCGGAAUUACUGGGCGUAAAGCGUGCGUAGGCGGUUUAUUAAGUCAGAUGUGAAAGCCCCGGGCUUAACCUGGGAACUGCAUUUGAAACUGGUCAACUAGAGUAUGGUAGAGGAAAGUGGAAUUUCUGGUGUAGCGGUGAAAUGCGUAGAUAUCAGAAGGAACAUCAAUGGCGAAGGCAGCUUUCUGGACCAAUACUGACGCUGAGGUACGAAAGCGUGGGUAGCAAACAGGAUUAGAUACCCUGGUAGUCCACGCCGUAAACGAUGAUAACUAGCCGUUGGGGGGAUUUACCCUUUAGUGGCGAAGCUAACGCGUUAAGUUAUCCGCCUGGGGAGUACGGCCGCAAGGUUAAAACUCAAAGGAAUUGACGGGGACCCGCACAAGCGGUGGAGCAUGUGGUUUAAUUCGAUGCAACGCGAAGAACCUUACCUGGUCUUGACAUCCUGCGAACUUUCUAGAAAUAGAUUGGUGCCUUCGGGAACGCAGUGACAGGUGCUGCAUGGCUGUCGUCAGCUCGUGUCGUGAGAUGUUGGGUUAAGUCCCGUAACGAGCGCAACCCCUAUCCUUAUUUGCCAGCACAUCAUGGUGGGAACUAUAAGGAGACUGCCGGUGAUAAACCGGAGGAAGGCGGGGACGACGUCAAGUCAUCAUGGCCCUUACGACCAGGGCUACACACGUGCUACAAUGGGAAGGACAAAGAGCCGCGAAGCCGCGAGGUGUAGCUAAUCUCAUAAACCUUUUCGUAGUCCGGAUUGGAGUCUGCAACUCGACUCCAUGAAGUCGGAAUCGCUAGUAAUCGUAGAUCAGAAUGCUACGGUGAAUACGUUCCCGGGUCUUGUACACACCGCCCGUCAAG
rnacentral:rRNA from 1 species